rnacentral:rRNA from 1 species
AAACUCCGAAUGCCGUCAUCUUAUACUUGGGAGUCAGACUGUGGGUGAUAAGAUUCAUAGUCGAAAGGGCAACAGCCCAGAUCGUCAGCUAAGGUCCCUAAAUGUAAGUUAAGUGGUAAAGGAUGUGGGAUUGCACAGACAACCAGGAUGUUGGCUUAGAAGCAGCCACUCAUUCAAAGAGUGCGUAAUAGCUCACUGGUCGAGUGAUCCUGCGCCGAAGAUUUCCGGGGCUAAAACUUACUACCGAAGCUACGGCAUCAGUAAUGAUGGGUAGGGGAGCUUCCCAUACGGGUUGAAGCAUGACCGUAAGGACAUGUGGACAGUAUGGGAGUGAGAAUGUUGGCAUGAGUAGCGAGAUGUGGGUGAGAAUCCCACAGGCCGUAAACCCAAGGUUUCCAGGGGAAGGUUCGUCCGCCCUGGGUUAGUCGGGACCUAAGCUGAGGCCGAAAGGCGUAGGUGAUGGACAACAGGUUGAUAUUCCUGUACUACCGAUAACCGUUUGAGAGAAGGGAUGACACAGUAGGAUAAGCUAAGCACACUGUUGGUUAUGUGUGCCCAAGCAUUGAGGCAGUCAAAGUAGGCAAAUCCGCUUUGAUAAUGCUGGGAUGUGAUGGGGAGCGAAAUUUAGUAGCGAAGUAGCUGAUUUCACACUGUCAAGAAAAGUCUCUAUCGAGGUUAAAGGUACCCGUACCGCAAACCGACACAGGUGGGUGAGGAGAGUAUCCUAAGGCCAGCGAGAGAACUGUUGUUAAGGAACUCGGCAAAAUGACCCCGUAACUUAGGGAUAAGGGGUGCCACCAUCAGGUGGCCGCAGAGAAUAGGCCCAAGCGACUGUUUACCAAAAACAUAGGUUUCUGCUAAGUCGCAAGACGAUGUAUAGGAGCUGACGCCUGCCCGGUGCUGGAAGGUUAAGGGGAUCUGUUAGAGCAAUCGAAGCAGUGAACUUAAGCCCCAGUAAACGGCGGCCGUAACUAUAACGGUCCUAAGGUAGCGAAAUUCCUUGUCGGGUAAGUUCCGACCCGCACGAAAGGCGUAACGAUUUGGGCACUGUCUCAACAACAGACUCGGUGAAAUUGUAAUUCCGGUGAAGAUGCCGGAUACCUGCGACAGGACGGAAAGACCCCAUGGAGCUUUACUGUAGCUUGACAUUGGGUCUUGGUACUACAUGUACAGGAUAGGUGGGAGGCUUUGAAACCAGGACGCCAGUUUUGGCGGAGCCAUCCUUGGGAUACCACCCUUGUAGUACUGGGACUCUAACCAUAGGCCAUGAAUCUGGUCUUGGGACACUGUCAGGUGGGCAGUUUGACUGGGGCGGUCGCCUCCCAAAAGGUAACGGAGGCGCUCAAAGGUUCUCUCAGUACGGUCGGAAAUCGUACGUAGAGUGUAAAGGCAAAAGAGAGCUUGAUUGCAAGACAUACAGGUCGAGCAAGGAUGAAAAUCGGACUUAGUGAUCCGGUGGUUCUGCGUGGAAGGGCCAUCGCUCAACGGAUAAAAGCUACCCUGGGGAUAACAGGCUUAUCUCCCCCAAGAGUCCACAUCGACGGGGAGGUUUGGCACCUCGAUGUCGGCUCAUCACAUCCUGGGGCUGUAGUAGGUCCCAAGGGUUGGGCUGUUCGCCCAUUAAAGUGGUACGCGAGCUGGGUUCAGAACGUCGUGAGACAGUUCGGUCCCUAUCCGUCGCAGGCGUAGGAAAUUUGAGAAGACCUGUCCUUAGUACGAGAGGACCGGGAUGGACGUACCUCUGGUGUACCAGUUGUNNNNNNNNNNNCUGCCAAGGGCAUGGCUGGGUAGCUAUGUACGGAAUGGAUAAGCGCUGAAAGCAUCUAAGCGCGAAGCCAACUUCAAGAUAAGAUUUCCCACCGCAAGGGUAAGACCCCAGAAAGACUAUCUGGUUGAUAGGUCGAAGGUGUAAGUGCAGUAAUGUAUUUAGCUUAUCGAUACUAAUAGGUCGAGGACUUGACCAA